AGCGAACGCUGGCGGCAGGCCUAACACAUGCAAGUCGAACGAACUCUUCGGAGUUAGUGGCGGACGGGUGAGUAACACGUGGGAACGUGCCUUUUGGUUCGGAAUAACUCAGGGAAACUUGUGCUAAUACCGAAUGUGCCCUUCGGGGGAAAGAUUUAUCGCCAUUAGAGCGGCCCGCGUCUGAUUAGCUAGUUGGUGAGGUAACGGCUCACCAAGGCGACGAUCAGUAGCUGGUCUGAGAGGAUGACCAGCCACACUGGGACUGAGACACGGCCCAGACUCCUACGGGAGGCAGCAGGGGGGAAUCUUGCGCAAUGGGCGAAAGCCUGAAGCAGCCAUGCCGCGUGAAUGAUGAAGGUCUUAGGAUUGUAAAAUUCUUUCACCGGGGACGAUAAUGACGGUACCCGGAGAAGAAGCCCCGGCUAACUUCGUG
rnacentral:rRNA from 1 species